GAUGGACCCGCGGCGCAUUAGCUAGUUGGUGAGGUAACGGCUCACCAAGGCAACGAUGCAUAGCCGACCUGAGAGGGUGUUCGGCCACAUUGGGACUGAGACACGGCCCAAACUCCUACGGGAGGCAGCAGUAGGGAAUCUUCGGCAAUGGACGAAAGUCUGACCGAGCAACGCCGCGUGAGUGAAGAAGGUUUUCGGAUCGUAAAACUCUGUUGUUAGAGAAGAACAAGGAUGAGAGUAAAAUGUUCAUCCCUUGACGGUAUCUAACCAGAAAGCCACGGCUAACUACGUGCCAGCAGCCGCGGUAAUACGUAGGUGGCAAGCGUUGUCCGGAUUUAUUGGGCGUAAAGCGAGCGCAGGCGGUUUCUUAAGUCUGAUGUGAAAGCCCCCGGCUCAACCGGGGAGGGUCAUUGGAAACUGGGAAACUUGAGUGCAGAAGAGGAGAGUGGAAUUCCAUGUGUAGCGGUGAAAUGCGUAGAUAUAUGGAGGAACACCAGUGGCGAAGGCGGCUCUCUGGUCUGUAACUGACGCUGAGGCUCGAAAGCGUGGGGAGCAAACAGGAUUAGAUACCCUGGUAGUCACGCCG
rnacentral:rRNA from 1 species